CUCAACCGAGCUUGGGAAGGGGUGGAACAAGAGAUGUUUAGCCUACAGGAAAGUGUGGCUCUGAUACCAGAUGUUAGAAUUUCAAUGGUUACUCUCAUUGAGAAGAGGAUGGCACUCGAGAUGGAGCAAUUUUCUGGUUUUCUUCAUUUACUAAACACAAAAGCCAUGUCCUCCCAAAGAGGAUUGGAUACAUAUUUAUAGCUGCUUGUAGCAGCCAUGCAGCCAUGCAAGUCUAAGAGGGUGCUGUCGUAGAGCAUCCAAACUGAAAGUAGAGAUGCUGUCCUAGAAAAUUGAAAAGCAGGAAAAGGCACCACAAGACCAAGACCAACCAGCCAAGACUUAUUCCUACAGAUGCAAGAAGUGGUGGCGCAAUCCUUUUGUAAUAUUUUGCAGAUUAUAGUAUGUCUAUGUUAGCAUGUUACCUGCCAUGGAUUCAUAACGAUGAGAAAGAACCAAUGAUGCUAAUACAACAGAUCCAGGAUUGACAUCUGUUUUUUUUUAGUCACCUGUGCGUGAGUAUCUCCUUGUGUAUUUGCAGCUUGUGUGACUUGUUAAUAUAAACAUGCUACAACAUCUUGGUUUUUUUAUUUCAGAUGAACAGUGGGUUUAAACUUUUUACUCCUUUGCUAGUAGAAAGUGGCUUUGAUUCUGCGCGGACUAGCUGCAGCCUGCAGGUUAUAACCCUGACGUCACGCUAUGUUGAGCUCCCAAUGGGCCUAACAUAACGGCAUAGUGGGCCGUUAACGGGCCUCGUACCUGUACGGCCGAAACGGAUCGGAGUAGCAAACCAAAGGAAAAAGUACACCCAGGGUCUCUCAACUUGUCAUUGGGUUACAAAAUCAUCCUUGAGCUGCAAAACCCGAUAUACGAUAUACGACGUCCUUUAACUUACAAAACCGUUCACUUUAGUGCAUAGACGGUUUUGAUCCCGGGCUGAGUCAACGUGGAACCCACGCGGGCCCCAUAUGUCAGUAUACCACGUCAUCGCCCUCUCUCCUUCCCCUCCUCUCCAUUUCUCUCUCUUCUCUGUCUUCUCGCAGGCCGGCCGGCAGGUACGGAGGAAGCCGGUGGGGCGAAGCGGGAGAGGAAGAGAGCGACGGCGGCCGGCGACGACGCGGGAGAGUCCACAGCCGCCGUACAGCGAGGGGGCGGGGCGGCGGGAGAAGGCGAGGUGGGGGCGACCGCGACGCAGAGAACGAGGCGAGCUCGGAGGUGCGGAAGGAACGCCAGUAGACGGCUCGGGCACCGGCGAUGCUCGCGACCAGUUGAAUGGGAUGGUGCCGCAGCCAGCUGUGGGCGCCGCGGUCGACGGCGGUGCGCACUGCUCUCCGUCAGGGUCGACGGCGCAGCGCGGCAUUGGGGGCGCCGUGGCCAACGGCGGUAGCGCGCGGCUCUCCGUCGGGGCCGAUGGCGCGGAGCGGCAUGGGGGCCGCCCUCAGGAAUGACGCCGCCCCGGAUCCAGCAGUCGGCGGCGGCAAAUGUGGCGAGGGACAGCAGCAAGAAGAUGGAUGAGAUGGGGAAGAAAAGAUGGAUGAGAUGGGAAAGAGAAAGAGGGACGACGCCGCCCUGGAUCCAGCCUUCUCCGCUCGCCGCCGCCUCGCUGGCUUCGCGCGCCGCCGCUCCGCCUCAUCGUCGCCCCACUUCGCCCGCCGCCGCCGCCGCCGCCCCGCUCCAUCCCACCAGCUCCGUGCGCCGGCGCUCCGCUGCUCGGCUUCUCCCAUGGGAAGAUGAAGAGGGACGGCGCCGCCCUGGAUCCAGCCUUCUUCGCCCGCCGCCACCUCGCCGGCUGCGUGCGCCGCCGCUCCGCCUCGCCGUCGCCCCGCUCCAUCUCGCCAGCUCAGUGCGUUGCCGCUCCACUUGCUCAGCUGCUCCCAUGGGAGAGAGCCGAUAGACACACAGAAGAGAAGGAAGGGGGAAGAAGAGGCUAACACGUGGGGCCCACGUGGGUCCCAAGCUAUGUCAGGUGCCAAGUCAGAUAAAACCAGAGUGAAAACCACCGGGGAUGUGUUGUAUCUGGUUUUGUGUGGUUCAAGGACGAUUUUGUAACUGGAUGCCAAGUUGAGGGACCUUCGGUGUACUUUUUCCGAAACCAAAACCAAACCUCCAAAUUUUCUCAAAAAAAAAAAAAGAAAAGGAAAAAGACAAACAACCUCCGGGGCUUCUGCUCUCGCCCCUCGCCAUGCCAAACACGGCGGCCCUCGCUGGCGUGCGCGGAACACGAACCUGAGGCCCUGAGCUCUAGCGCGGCGCCACGCGCGUCUGCGUGGUGUUUCGCACUCCCAUCUCCGAAAUCCGCAGCUGCGCACGGCCUUGCGCGCGGUUGCAGGCCACCGCCCGCCGCUACCACCCUGCUUGACCAGAUGCAAGCUCCAUCUUCCCAGUGUUCAAAUCCACCCAGAAGUCUGGGAUUACCAGUCUGUGCUGGUCAGGGGACGCGAAACAGCUGUUCGACGGAAUGCCUCAACCAGCAGGAUGUUUUCUUAUCUGGGAAUCACAAGCUAAGAUGUCGAUGCUGUCAAUCUUGAUGGUCCCUUCUCUUGGCUCAACAAUCCGAAAAAGUACUUGUACUAAGGUUGACUUCCCACUACCUGUGCGUCCAACAAUACCUACUGUUUUCUCAGCUGGAAUCACACAAGUUAUGUUUUUUAAUACUGAAGGGAGAUGUUCUGCAUAUCUGACCUGUAUGAUUAAAUGUGCAAUAUCAUUACUGGGCCAACUAAAGGGUGUACACCUCUGAUACUUAGUAUGAAAUAAAAUUAUUAUGAUCUUCUUUCUAAUCAUUUAGAACCAUACCUCUAAGUUGCUUAUGCUUAUCAUGCCAAACUCUGGCCAUGCCAUUGGUGGCUUGCUACCCUCGGUUAUGGUUGGGGCUUCACUUGGAAGCUUUGUGUACUGUAAUAUUCUUUCAACUGAUAUCAUGUUUGCUUC